CUCUGUUUCCUCAGGAUUCAGGGCAAAAGGAG
ncrna:Gracilibacillus lacisalsi DSM 19029 L31-Firmicutes ribosomal protein leader